ensembl:misc_RNA 7SK 7SK RNA
GGGUGUGAGGGCUAUCAUUCCAUUGAUCUCUAGGGUUGAGUCCUUUGAUCUGCCUGGUUAAGUAGGUGUCCCUUUCUCCCUCACCCCUCCAUGACUGUCCUUCCUGAAACAACAUGCUCAUUGACUUUCCUGGAAUAGAGAGGCUCUUGGAUAAGGGUAUAGGAGAAGCUGCACUCCCCUGCAAGGAUAUCCAAACAGGCUCUCAGACAACAAUGGGUGCUGCUACCCUGAGGAACUAAGCAUUCUAAUUUCAGGCAUGAUCUUUCAAAGUACUUUUGGUAAAUAACUUAUGUG